rnacentral:rRNA from 1 species
AACGAACGCUGGCGGCAUGCCUAACACAUGCAAGUCGAACGAGACCUUCGGGUCUAGUGGCGCACGGGUGCGUAACGCGUGGGAACCUGCCCUUAGGUUCGGAAUAACUCCCCGAAAGGGGUGCUAAUACCGGAUAAUGUCUUCGGACCAAAGAUUUAUCGCCUUUGGAUGGGCCCGCGUUGGAUUAGCUAGUUGGUAGGGUAAAAGCCUACCAAGGCGACGAUCCAUAGCUGGUCUGAGAGGAUGAUCAGCCACACUGGGACUGAGACACGGCCCAGACUCCACGGGAGGCAGCAGUGGGGAAUAUUGGACAAUGGGCGAAAGCCUGAUCCAGCAAUGCCGCGUGAGUGAUGAAGGCCUUAGGGUUGUAAAGCCCUUUUACCCGGGAUGAUAAUGACAGUACCGGGAGAAUAAGCUCCGGCUAACUCCGUG